CAAUAGCUCAGUUGGUAGAGCAAGAGACUCUUAAUCUCAAAGUUGUGGGUUCAAGCCCCAUUGCAAGGG